GAGGCGGAGGCUCAGGCAUGGCGGGCUGCAGCUCCCGAGCCCUGCCCCGCAGGGAGGCAGCUAAGGCCAGGCGAGAAAUCGAGCGCAGCGCCGGUGGGCCAGCACUGCUGGGGGACCCAGUACACCCUCCGCAGCCGCUGGCCCGGGUGCUAAGUCCCUCAUUGCUCGGGGCCGGCCGGGGCGGCCGGCCGGCUGGCCGCUCAGAGUGCGGGGCCCGCCAAGCCCACGCCCACCCGGAACUCCAGCUGACCCGCAAGCGCAGCGCGCAGCCCCUGUUCCCGCUUGCGCCUCUCCCUCCACACCUCCCUGCAAGCUGAGGGAGCCAGCUCCGGCCUUGGCCAGCCCAGAAAGGGGCUCCCACAGUGCAGCGGCGGGCUGAAGGGCUCCUCAAGCGCGGCCAGAGUGGGCGCAAAGGCCGAGGAGGCGCCGAGAGCGAGCGAAGGCUGUGAGGGCUGCCAGCAACGCUGUCACUUCUCAAUAAUAUUUCACCUGUGAAUACUACACCAUUUAAGACAUCUCCCUGCUUCUCCUUUGCCUUCCAUCAUGACUGAAAGUUGUCUGAGUUCUCCCAGCCAUGUGUCCUGUACAGCCUGUGGAACUACUUUAAAGAAGAAUCAGAAAAUGGAGACUGGGAUUGGAAGCAGAGAUCCGAUGGCCAAAUUACAGAGUCUGCCACUGAAGCUAACACACCUAUGGAUAACCCAACCUGUAAACUCAAUGUGGAACACAGUUUGAGAAAAGAAGUGAGAAGAUUCAAUUUUGAAGUUGGAUCACUCUCCUACAGGCAAUGAAGACCACAUCACUGAUGGCUCUCCUGCAAUUCUAUUACCUGUUUGAAUGUGAAGAUGGGAUGAAGUAGCAAGAAUGACCUCACAAAAUACCUCCCCAACCACCCCAUCAUCCUGCACUUUCCAGUCUGCACAACUGUGAGAAAGAC